rnacentral:siRNA from 1 species
UACAUGCAGAGUUAUGUGUGUA